rfam:Lactobacillus curieae strain CCTCC M 2011381, complete genome.
CCACAGCUACAACCGCACGAUUUGAGCUUCUAAGUCCUACGGGCGCUUAAUUUCGGCGAGUCUAAGCAAAAAU